rnacentral:lncRNA from 1 species
UGAUAUGGUAGCAAAUACACGACAGAUGAGUAAUAAACCUUUACAUAAGGUGUUCUGGUCCCGUCUCCAUCUGCAGGGCUCAGACUGAAGUAGAAAAUGGAACAAGAGGAGAGAAAGGUAUUGAGUCAGCUUUACCAUCGCAACGAUGGCAACGCCGCCGAUCAUCAUGCACGUGGGCCAGAAGAGCGAGUGGAACAGCACGUUGGAGCUGUACAGUUUGGUCAAUAUCACGUUCUUCUGAGUGCCCUCAGGAUCAUAGAAGCAGGAGAAGCGUUGAUACUUUCGGAAGUUUUCCAUCACAACGUUCACCAUUGACAUGGAUUCCUCGUAAUUCUUGCCACACUUGGUGUGCUUUGGACCAUGCAUGAAGCUCAGUGGUGCUCUACUCCUUCCAGCAUGGAAUUCCUUUAGCAGAGGUCCUGAAGUCUCUCUGGAUUUCCGUGGAGCUGAACGAC